rnacentral:rRNA from 1 species
ACGGGGUGCAGCAGGCGCGAAAACUUCACAAUGCUGGCAACAGCGAUGAGGGAAUCCCAAGUGCUAACACAUUGUGUUAGCUGUUUAUUUGUCUAAAAAACAGGUAGAGUAAGGGCUGGGUAAGACCGGUGCCAGCCGCCGCGGUAAUACCGGCAGCUCGAGUGGUAGCCGCUUUUAUUGGGCCUAAAGCGUCCGUAGCCGGUCUGGUAAACCCUUGGGUAAAUCGUAUAGCUUAACUAUACGAAUUCCGAGGAGACUGCCAGACUUGAGACCGGAGAAGGUCGGAGGUACUCCUGGGGUAGGGGUGAAAUCUUAUAAUCCUAGGGGGACCACCAGUGGCGAAGGCGUCCGACUGGAACGGCUCUGACGGUAAGGGACGAAACCCCGGGGCACAAACCGGAUUAGAUACCCGGGUAGUCCAGGGCGUAAACGCUGCAGGCUUGGUGUUGGGGGUCCCAUGAGGGCGUCCAGUGCCGGAGAGAAGUUGUUAAGCCUGCCGCCUGGGAGUACGAUCGCAAG